CAUGAGGAUAGCCCCAGCACCAGAGCUCUGUGGUGGAUCUUCCCUCUUAGAUGGAAUCCCUAAACACAAUGGGAUGAUUUGAUCCUAAGGUGACAGGGGCCAAGAGGAGGCACUUAACCACCAAAGACAAGCAGAGGAAGAGGAGCGACUGAAGAAGAAAGAGGGUGGAGGUGAAGAUGUGGAGCUCAUAUUGAAUCUUUGGAAAAGUGAAAAUGGCUUUUAGUAUCCAGUAAGAAGAGUAAAUAGAAGAAUUUUAGCCACAAAUGGAAAAGAAAACGUCUCUUCCUCAGCUCAAAGAGACAAGCUCUUGUCAGUUCCUGUAAAAUUUAAUGCUGGUGGGCCUG
rnacentral:lncRNA from 10 species